CCAAGUUAGAGCUCUCGACCCGUUUACACGACCUGACGAACUGCGUAGUGAUCGACCGGAACCUCUCCAUUCGGCGACGAUAGGGCGGCGCACCGGUACCGUUCGGUUCGUCUUGACGACGCCGACGUGCCUCUUGUAACGGAUCGUCCAUGCAAGGAGCGAGGAGAGAAAAUCGAGGCUCGAAAGUUUCUAACUUUCUGGCGGUUCCACAGCAUUUUCCGGCGAUCGUUUGUUGAUGCAUGAGGUAUGAAACAUGCUCUUCUCUUCGUGCUCUACAUUUUGGUGUAAAUGGAUUUUGGAAUUGAUAGAGUUUUGUUGGAUUGGUGUUGUCGGCUGAUGUCGAGGCUACUGUUCCGGCAGAGUGUUCUAGAGUUCUUUGAUUCAAUUUUGAUGAUAAUUCUGGUCCUAGAACGAGCAGCGAGAGGUGGGUUGCAUUGAAAUUUAGAAUUGGUGUGGUGGAGCACAGUCGGGUAGCAGAACAAAGAGUUCGAAAGUCCGUGAAGUUUGAUGGUGAAAAGUCUGGUUUUGUUCGAAUUGGAACAAGACAUAGACAUGCAAAGGGAGAGAGAUUCAGAAGCUUGCCAGAGUUGGUAAUUGGGUUUGAGUAUUCCUCGAUCAAUUCUUAAUCCCAAUUGGCUGUGCACUGAUCUUUUGUUGUGCUUAUAGCAUAGGAUUUCAACUUGGAGGUUUUAAAGACGUAUAAUUGGACGAGGGCUGUCCAAGUUCAUUUUGAGUUCCACAGUGAAGAACCGGAGUGAUGGCGAAUAAAGGAUGCAGAACCUCGGUGGGCUAAGAAGUAAGAACUCCAACAAUUGCAAUGGAAGAGCUAUUCAUGGGACUCUAGUUACCCGGAACAUGAAAGAUUGUGGUGUUGGCCUAGAAGAGCGAAUGGAAUCAAAGCUACGGUAUUCCAGGUAGGGGAUUCUGGACUCGCCUCAGUUAGUAAUUUUGAUGCAUAUAUUUUAAGGAAAUUAUUGAUGCAUGAAAAAUGUAUUUCGAUUUUUCUAUGAGUUAAUAUUUGAUGACCUGAGAGUGAGAGGAGCAUAGCGACUUCCUUGGGCUUCGAUCCCCUAAACCUCCGGAGGGGCUGUAUGGGCUGAAGACUGUCUGACAUCCUUUGAGGUGUGGCACUGCUUCUAGGUGAUACGGCGUAAGUGGACACUCUCGCUACACCUUGCCGGUGUAAACGAUGUUAAUCGUGGUAAGGUUGUAGUAGGCAUAGAAUCAAAGCUAUGGUAUUCCAGGUAGGGGAUUCUGGACUCGCCUCAAUUAGUAAUUUUGAUGCAUAUAUUUAAGGAAAUUAUUGAUGCAUGAAAAAUGUAUUUCGAUUUUUCUAUGAGUUAAUAUUUGAUGACCUGAGAGUGAGAGGAGCAUAGUGACUUCCUUGGGAUUCGAUCCCCUAAACUUCCGGAGGGGCUGUAUGGGCUGAAGAGUGUCUGACAUCCUUUGAGGUGUGGCACUGCUUCUAGGUGAUACGGCGUAAGUGGACACUCUCGCUACACCUUGCCGGUGUAAACGAUAUUAAUCGUGGUAAGGUUGUUUCAUUCUUUUGGGCCCUACUGUACUUUUAUAUACGAACAACGGUUUUGUGGUUUCGAACAUGUUUGUUUAUAUGCAUCGUUUUCUCACUUACUUUGCCGGCACCAUUGUUUAAUUGUUUUUACACCUAGCUGGGGUAGAGUCUUAUUGAGCAGCGAGGACGAAAGCUCACCCCUACAACAGUUUGUGGAUGCAGGUACUGUGUAUGAAGACAGGAUAGCUGGCCGAUGCUGGGUGUGGCUUAGUUACAUUAAAUUUCAAAUUAUGUCAUCGACGGAGUUAGAUCCGCAUGACAGGUUUCCUUGUUUCCUUUACUCCCUCACAAUUCGUUUACUGAGUUUGUAAUUGUUCGUAAAGUACCCCUCUUGUAAAUUUUUCGGAUGGUGAUCUUGAACCGGACUAAUAUUUGAUAAUUGUUAUGAAAUGACUUGUAUUUGUUUUCUUUAAAGGAUUUCCGAUGGUUUUAUA